rnacentral:rRNA from 1 species
UACAGAGGGUGCAAACGUUGCUCGGAAUCACUGGGCGUAAAGGGCGUGUAGGCGGCCUGGUAAGUCUGGCGUGAAAUCCCUGGGCUCAACCCAGGAACUGCACUCGAAACUACUUGUCUUGAGUGUCGGAGAGGAAAGCGGAAUUCCUGGUGUAGAGGUGAAAUUCGUAGAUAUCAGGAGGAACACCAGUGGCGAAGGCGGCUUUCUGGACGAUAACUGACGCUGAGACGCGAAAGCGUGGGGAGCAAACAGG